rnacentral:pre_miRNA from 10 species
AACCCAACCUCAUCUGUGGUGCCUUCGAUAGGUCGUGUUUGGUGUAUCAUACUUAAGCAAACACAGUAUUGCACCUGUCCCGGCCGAUCGCGGUUACUUUUGUCACAAAUUGGUAAA